UGAUGGCUACCAGGCGACUACGGGUAGCCGGCCUGAGAGGGCGACCGGCCACACUGGGACUGAGACACGGCCCAGACUCCUUCGGGAGGCAGCAGUGGGGAAUAUUGCACAAUGGGCGAAAGCCUUAUGCAGCGACGCCGCGUGAGGGAUGACGGCCUUCGGGUUGUAAACCUCUUUCAGCAGGGAAGAAGCGAGAGUGACGGUAUCUGCAGAAGAAGCGCCGGCUAACUACGUGCCAGCAGCCGCGGUAAUUCGUAGGGCGCGAGCGUUGUCCGGAAUUGUUGGGCGUAAAGAGCUCGUAGGCGGCUUGUUGCGUCGGCUGUGAAAGCCCGGGGCUUAACCGCGUGUCUGCAUUCAGAUACGUGCAGGUUAGAGUUCGGUAGGGGAGAUCUGAAUUCCUGGUGUAGCGGUGAACUGCGCAGAUAUCAGGAGGAACACCGGUGGACGAAGGGGGAUCUCUGGGCCGAUACUGACGCUGAGGAGCGAAAGCGUGGGGAGCGAACAGGAUUAGAUGCCUUGGUAGUCCACGCCGUAAACGUUGGGAACUAGGUGUGGGCGACAUUCCACGUUGUCCGUGCCGCAGCUAACGCAUUAAGUUCCCCGCCUGGGGAGUACGGCCGCAAGGCUAAAUCUCAAAGGAAUUGACGGGGGCCCGCACAAGCGGCGGAGCAUGUGGCUUAAUUCGACGCAACGCGAAGAACCUUACCAAGGCUUGACAUACACCGGAAACGGCCAGAGAUGGUCGCCCCCUUGUGGUCGGUGUACAGGUGGUGCAUGGCUGUCGUCAGCUCGUGUCGUGAGAUGUUGGGUUAAGUCCCGCAACGAGCGCAACCCUUGUUCUGUGUUGCCAGCAUGCCUUUCGGGGUGAUGGGGACUCACAGGAGACUGCCGGGGUCAACUCGGAGGAAGGUGGGGACGACGUCAAGUCAUCAUGCCCCUUAUGUCUUGGGCUGCACACGUGCUACAAUGGCCGGUACAAUGAGCUGCGAUACCGUGAGGUGGAGCGAAUCUCAAAAAGCCGGUCUCAGUUCGGAUUGGGGUCUGCAACUCGACCCCAUGAAGUCGGAGUCGCUAGUAAUCGCAGAUCAGCUUUGCUGCGGUGAAUACGUUCCCGGGGCCUUGUACACACCCGCCCGUCACGUCCCCGAAAGUCGGGAAA
rnacentral:rRNA from 1 species